rnacentral:rRNA from 1 species
UACGAAGGGGGCUAGCGUUGCUCGGAAUUACUGGGCGUAAAGGGCGCGUAGGCGGCGGAUCAAGUCAGGCGUGAAAUUCCUGGGCUUAACCUGGGGGCUGCGCUUGAGACUGAUGUGCUUGAGGAUGGCAGAGGCUCGUGGAAUUCCCAGUGUAGAGGUGAAAUUCGUAGAUAUUGGGAAGAACACCGGUGGCGAAGGCGGCGAGCUGGGCCAUUACUGACGCUGAGGCGCGACAGCGUGGGAGCAACAGG